CUGGUUGAUCCUGCCGGAGGCCAUUGCUAUCAGGGUUUGACUAAGCCAUGCGAGUCGAGAGGUGUAAGACCUCGGCAUACUGCUCAGUAACACGUGGUUAACCUGCCCUAAGGUGGGGCAUAACCCCGGGAAACUGGGGAUAAUACCCCAUAGGUUAGAGAUGCUGGAAUGCCCUUUAACCCAAAGCUCCGGCGCCUUAGGAUGGAUCUGCGGCCGAUUAGGUAGUUGUUGGGGUAACGGCCCAACAAGCCUGUAAUCGGUACGGGUUGUGGGAGCAAGAGCCCGGAGAUGGACUCUGAGACACGAGUCCAGGCCCUACGGGGCGCAGCAGGCGCGAAAACUUUACAAUGCAGGAAACUGUGAUAAGGGAACCCCGAGUGCCCGUAUACGCGGGCUGUCCAGGUGUAUAAAAAGCAUUUGAAGAAAGGGCCGGGCAAGACCGGUGCCAGCCGCCGCGGUAAUACCNGGCGGCUCGAGUGGUGGCCACUUUUAUGUGGCUUAAAGGUUCGUAAGCUGGGGUGUUAAGUCUCUUGGGAAUCUCACGGCUCAACCGUGAGGCGUCUAAGGGAUACUGGCAACCUANGGACCGGGAANAGGUGAGAGGACUCANGGGGGUAGGAGUGAAUCCUGUAAUCCUGGGGGACACCUGUGGCGAGGCGUCUCACCAGACGGUCCCACAGUGAGGACGAAAGCUGGGGAGCAA
rnacentral:rRNA from 1 species